rnacentral:lncRNA from 1 species
GGCAGUAGUUCCGUCAGAGCGGACAUCUUGUGGCUGUGCCGUGCGCGUGAGCCCCGUAGGGCCGGGGAGGCACCAGCUGCCGCGCGGGGAGGAGGCCGAGGCCGCAGCUCGAGGGAGGCCCCGGCCCUCUGCGCCUGUGUCUGGCAGAGCCGGUGUGAGAAGAAGAGAGAAUCCUUCCCCGCCGCCGGGAUAAUCAAGAGUUUUGGCCGGACCUUUGAGUACACAUCGGGAUAGUGAGAAGCCCGGCGAAAAGCACAGACUAUGGCGCUGAAACGGAUUAAUAAGGAACUUAGUGAUUUGGCCCGUGACCCUCCAGCACAAUGUUCUGCAGGUCCAGUUGGAGAUGACAUGUUUCAUUGGCAAGCCACAAUUAUGGGACCUAAUGACAGCCCAUAUCAAGGUGGUGUAUUCUUUUUGACAAUUCAUUUUCCUACAGACUACCCCUUCAAACCACCUAAGGUUGCAUUUACAACAAGAAUUUAUCAUCCAAAUAUUAACAGUAAUGGCAGCAUUUGUCUUGAUAUUCUAAGAUCACAGUGGUCUCCUGCUUUAACUAUUUCUAAAGUUCUUUUAUCCAUUUGUUCACUGCUAUGUGAUCCAAACCCAGAUGACCCCCUAGUGCCAGAGAUUGCACGGAUCUAUAAAACAGACAGAGACAAGUACAACAGAAUAUCUCGGGAAUGGACUCAGAAGUAUGCCAUGUGAUGCUACCUUAAAGUCAGAAUAACCUGCAUUAUAGCUGGAAUAAACUUUAAAUUACUGUUCCUUUUUUGAUUUUCUUAUCCGGCUGCUCCCCUAUCAGACCUCAUCUUUUUUAAUUUUAUUUUUUGUUUCCCUCCCUCCAUUCAUUCACAUGCUCAUCUGAGAAGACCUAAGUUCUUCCAGCUUUGGACAAUAACUGCUUUUAGAAACUGUAAAGUAGUUACAAGAGAACAGUUGCCCAAGAUUCAGAAAUUUUUUUAAAACUGGAGCAUGUGUAUUAUGUGGCCAAUGUCUUCACUCUAACUUGGUUAUGAGACUAAACCAAUCCUCACUGCUCUAACAUGCUGAAGAAGCCAUCUGAGGGGGAGGGGGAUGGAUGCUGAGCUGUCACAUCAAAGGAAACAGCAUUAUUCCAGCAGCAUCCAUUCUUGUCUAAACCUUCCACUGUUAGAGAUUUGAGGUUACAUGAUAUACUUUAUGCUCAUAACUGAUGUGGCUGGAGAAUUGGUAUUGAAUUAUAGCAUCAGCAGAACAGAAAAUGUGAUGUAUUUUAUGCAUGUCAAUAAAGGAAUGACCUGUUCUUGUUCUACAGAGAAUGGAAAUUGGAAGUCAAACACCCUUUGUAUUCCAAAAUAGGGUCUCAAAACAUUUUGUAAUUUUCAUUUAAAUUGUUAGGCUUGGAGCUAUUAGUUAAUCUAUCUUCCAAUACUGUUUAAUAUAGCACUGAAUAAAUGAUGCGAGUUGUCAAUGGAUGAGUGAUCAACUAAUAGCUCUCCUAGUAAUUGAUUUAUUUUUCUUCAAUAAAGUUGCAUAAACCAAUGAGUUAGCUGCCUGGAUUAAUCAGUAUGGGAAACAAUCCUUUGUAUAAAUGCAAAGCUGUUUUUGUAUAUACUGUUGGGAUUUGCUUCAUUGUUUGACAUCAAAUGAUGAUGUAAAGUUCAAAAGAGUGAAUAUAUUGCCAUGUUCAGUUAAAGUGCACAGUCUGUUAACAGGUUGACACAUUGCUUGACCUGAUUUAUGCAGAAUUAAUAAGCUAUUCAAAUAGUGUAGCUUUAAUACGCUGCACAUGAUUCUGGCAGCCCUAGAGUUCAUAAAUGGACUUGGGACUCAGCAGUUUUGAAACGUGUAUAUGGAGUUUAAGAAAUUUAUUUUCCAGGUGCAUCCCCUUCUAACUAAAAUUUUCUUCAUCUUGUACACUUAACAGCUGAAAAAGAUAUAUAUAUAUAUAACUUGGGAGUGAUAAUGGGUCAAAAUUUACAAAAUAAAGUACUGUUUUGGUGUGGGAGUUGUCAUGAGGCUGUGUUGAAGUGACUUAACUGUGGGAUGUUGGUAUCCAUUGAGAUGGAUUUGUUCAGCCAUUUACAUUAAUGAGCAUUUAAAUGCAACAGAUCAUUUCGGGUGACUUUAACAUGAAUGAAUAAAAAAGUCAAUGCU